ensembl:lncRNA
CCUCCAGGAGACUUUGGACCAAAGGGCAUACGAGGACCAAAGGGCCCACAGGGCACAAUGGGAAGAGGAGGAGUCGUUGGCCCUGUGGGAAUCAUUGGCCCCAGUGGAAGUGCAGGUCCUCGAGGAGAGAAGGGCAACCGUGGAGAGACUGUGAGUCUUCUUGGCCUCUUUUUCUUUAACUGUUUACAUUUUCUUCAUUUG